GAGCGGAAUUUUGUCUUCCAGUAUUAAUCGCUCCUUUACAAUUUCUUCUUGUUUGGUAGUCGCCUCGAUGAAAGCCUGUUGGCAUAGCUUUUGCAACACUUCAUGCUGUUCGAUCCAACUAAGAAUGCAAGCAAUUGGAUACGGGCGAAUGCUUUGCACAUAUGGAUCAAUUUCUUCGGGGAAAACUGCACAUGGAUACGAUGCCAUCGUUGAUUUUCUUGGUUGUAAUUGCAAAGCUGGCUAGGUAGACAAAUAAAUAAACGUUCCCAUUCAAAUUCGUUUCCUAGCAACCGAUAAAAUAAAUUGCAAAGUACA